rnacentral:misc_RNA from 1 species
UUUCGGUAUCCUGUGUUGCUUACCUCGUACGGAAUUAUUUUUGUCGCGUUGUCCCUUUCCUCCUUUGUGACCUUCGGGUUGCAAAGGGGACAUUGUAGCUGCACCCGUGUCCCGAACAUGCCUCGACGCUAUGUGGGGGUUGUCACGGUCCCCGGGUGAUUGCUAGUGCUCUCGGAUUCGGAAUGCUACGUGGGUGCGGGGGUCUUUGGCCUCCGAACGCUCGAAAUAGUCCCUUGACACGGAURAGGGUCGUGGCCRCACAAAUCCCWRGCCGAAAGGCUURCGGGUUUGUGYGGUUCACGACGUCCUAAAGGAAUGCUACCUGGUUGAUCCUGCCAGUAGUCAUAUGCU